UUCAUAGAAAAGGCAUUAGGACCGAGGA
rnacentral:piRNA from 1 species